GAUUGAGAAUGUCAGGGGACGGAUUGCUCUCUAGGUCGGAUCAGGAUCGGAUUCGAUCCUUUCUCCUGGAGCAGUUGAAACAGUUUGCUGAUGGUUUAGGACCGGAGAUAGGUUUAGCAGACCUGGAGAAAACUGGGGCCUACAAAGGACUUGCAGAUAAGGUUAAUUCUGGUUUAAUUGAGAGUUUUGAGUGUCUUGAGGAUUAUAAGAUUAUUACAGUUGUUUCUGCGCACAAUCCUGAUCUGAAGGCUGGAGGUUUGAGUCUAGCUGCAGUGUGGAGUGUACAGCAGGAUCUAGUAAUUAUCUCGGAGCAUCGUGUACAGGAGAAUAUUUUCUCCGUGUCAGCUCAUCUUGUCCGUAUGUCGGACUCGGAGAAUGACUCAGACUGAAAACCAGAAAAAAAGUUAUCGCUGAGCCAAAGCAAUGGGUUGUAAUCCAUACACAGGGGUCUGUGGAUUUCUUGUACGGGCGUUCAAAUGGUUGCCCGUGAUCCUGAUAUCCGCUAUAUUAGUUUGGUCUUAUUACGCAUACGUGGUACAUCUGUGUAUUCUGACAAUAUCAGAACCAUGGGUCAGAUAUAUCCUUCUAGUCCUUUACCAUAUACUCUUCAUACUCUUCCUCUGGUCUUACUGGAGAACGGUCUGGACUAAUCCAGGACCAGUACCUUCAAGAUUCAAAUUGACACGUGAUGAACUGGAGAACCUGGAGAGUACAGAGAGUGAUGUUGAACAAAGAAGAAUUCUUGAACAAGUUGUUAUAGACAAGGAUCUACCAGUAGCUAUGAGAACUAUUCAGGGUUCAGUAAGAUAUUGUGAUAGAUGUAGUAUUAUAAAACCAGACCGGGCACAUCACUGUUCAGUUUGUGGCACUUGUGUUCUGAAAAUGGAUCAUCACUGUCCUUGGGUGAACACCUGUGUAGCGUUCCUCAACUACAAGUUCUUUGUUCUAUUCUUGUUCUACGGGUUCAUCUACUGUAUCUUUAUCUCUUUGUCCGUUCUCAAAUACUUUCUACAGUUCUGGGCGAGAUCUUUCGAGUCAACAGGCCAGAGUAAGUUCCAUAUUCUGUUCUUGUUCUUUGUCUCCUCAAUGUUCAGUAUCAGUCUCUGUUCUCUUCUCUGCUAUCAUAUACAUCUUGUUCUCAAUAACAGAACUACGUUGGAAGCCUUCAGAUCUCCGGUAUUCAGACGAGGCCCAGAUAAGCUUGGUUUUAGUCUUGGUAAACUUGGAAACCUGCAGGAGGUCUUCGGAGACAAUUGGAAGACGAUAAUGCUGCCUAUGUUUACAAGUAUGGGAGACGGUUUAACCUUCCCGCAGAGAUUUACAGACCCGGAGCUGGGACGGAGAGAUAGCGAGGAAAGGUGGUCUGGGGAGGAGGAAAGAGCUCCUAUGCUCCGGAGAGAGGAGGAGAGGGAGGAGAGAAUCCGUCUGUCGGAGUCUGACUCUGAGGAGGAACUGCUCAGCAUGCAAACCGUCCUCACUUCUCCUGGAGCACAGCAGCAGCAGCAUACAACCAGCACCAGCUCUCUUAUCAUUAAAUCAUGAUCUGGGUAGUGUUUACUGUUUACACUCUUCAACCUUACUGACAGGAGUGCGUCUUCCCUCUCCUUAAACAUUGUACUUAUUCAGUUUGCAUUACAGACAGCACAGUACCAUCCUUAUUCCAAAGUGAUCUAACUUGCAUUUUCUAGCUACAUCUGUAGCCGGUAGAUAAACUAUAAAAUUAAUAGAUUUAGAUUUUAUUUUGAAAUUUGUUUAGUUUAAAUAAAAUAUGUUUGCGCACAGAAUCACGGAACACAUUUUUAUUCACGAUGACUGAUUUGAAUAAGAAAAAGUUUUGCUUGAGUAAUCCGCAUUCCACCUGCAGUAUUUCUUAACACAUUGAAUGAUUGAAGUAACAAUUUUCUUAUUACCUAACUUCACUUUUCUGUUUAAAUAAUACGCUUUACCGAUCCAACGCCUGUAAUUUUACGUAACAUGUUUCUAGUUAACUCGAAAACUAUUUGAAGCUCAAAUAACAUGUCAAUGAAAUAUUGCAUUUGACACACAAUAUGUCAAAUAUAUUAACUUUAAUUCAAACUCCAAAGAAGUAGAAAUUAAAAUACCUACAAGAGCUUAAACACAUUUUGCUGUUUGAUUUUCUAUCUCUGAUAUACAUCCUCGUCUUGUGUCUUGUGUCUUGAAUCUUAACAACUUUACCCUUCAAAUUCAGUAAAUAUGAUCGUAAAAUCCAAUUUAUAUAUUUUGUGAAACUGUCCUCUUCUAUAUCUCUAGUGGAGGAUGGUUUCACAAACUAGUGUCCAGUUUAGACUGCAUGUAUUUAUAAGAGAAUAAAUAUUUAUUAUCAUUGA
rnacentral:misc_RNA from 1 species